GAAAUGCGAUAAGUAAUGUGAAUUGCUGAAUUCAGUGAAUCAUCGAAUCUUUGAACGCACAUUGCGCCCGCCAGUAUUCUGGCGGGCAUGCCUGUUCGAGCGUCAUUACAACCCUCAGGCCCCCGGGCCUGGCGUUGGGGAUCGGCGGAAGCCCCCUGCGGGCACAACGCCGUCCCCCAAAUACAGUGGCGGUCCCGCCGCAGCUUCCAUUGCGUAGUAGCUAACACCUCGCAACUGGAGAGCGGCGCGGCCACGCCGUAAAACACCCAACUUCUGAAUGUUGACCUCGAAUCAGGUAGGAAUACCCGCUGAACUUAAGC
rnacentral:misc_RNA from 1 species